rnacentral:rRNA from 1 species
CUCUACGGCCAAAACACCUUGAAUGUGCCCAAUCUCAUCUGAUCUUGGAAGCUAAGCAGGGUCAGGACUGUUUAGUACUUGGAUGGGAAUAAUGAAUAUGCUAGUGUUGAUU